AUUAAAGUCGCAAUGAAAUUGAAAUGAAAAACUAUAUAUAUAUUUUUAAUAUUGUGGUAUUAUUAACAAAUUACUUAUCUGUGAGCUUCAUUAUUUUUUUAAAAUUUGUGUGUGCUCAUAAUCUUUAAUCAAAAAUGCAAAUCUCCUCCCCUCCUAAAAACGAUCUCUCUUCACUUCCGGUCAAAAGUAUGGCAGGUGGGCGGGGUCCGGGAGAAGAUCGCAGCGAUUAGCAAUUAGCAACACGACCCAACUUCAAACGAUCCAAUCAGAUCUCGAUGGACAAAUUCAAAUCCAGCCCUGCCUUAUUUCAUCUCAAAAGCCAUUUCAUUCGGAUAUACGUCACUACGGGGAAAAUAAGGGAAUCGCUACUUCCGUUUCAUGGCGACUUUAAAGAGACGCUCAAGCAUGCCGAGACACGCAAGAAGAGGAGCCAACGCCCUUUAAUUAUUUUAAUCUCAAAACAAAAUGUAGUUGUCAAUUAUCUUAAAUCACAUUAAUACGUGUGUUCACGUUGGUCAUAACCUCACUCUCUUUAGAGACUGUUUAUUUAUUUAUUUAAUUAUUAAUAUUCGUAUUUAAGUGUAGUGUAGUAAUUAUUAAUAUCUUAAUAUAGCCUGCAACAAAUAUACUAUUUUUAAUAUGGGUAUUAUAUCUAUAGUAGUAUUAUUAUAAUCAUAGCUACACUUUUUUAAAGAAGUAUUUUGUAAUAGUGAAUUGACAAACUAAAUAUACUUGCUUUUAUUAGAGUGAUCAAAAAUUUAUUUAACAUGGUCAGGAUGGAACCAUAUUUUAACAUAAUAUUUGUAGUGAAAACUAUUGUAAUACAAAUGGCUAUCAAUCUGCCAAAAACAUGCUUACAAGUUUUACUAUAAUAAAAUAGUUGUCUUGUGUUUGUUAAACUAUAAUUUGUGUGUUUGUGUGUGGAAUAACGUUUAAUUAAUUGCAGAUACGUGAAUUCGAAGUAAAUCUCUGCAUAUUUGAUUCCAUAAUAGAACUAAAGAAGAGCAAAAUCCUGAUUCUGUUGGGAUUCUGUCCGGAAUUUUAUGUCAAAUAUAGGAGAUCUUAGGAAGAUGUAUUGUUGGUCAAUGUGUGUACAAAAAAAAUAGCACAGGUAUAUGCUGUAAAGAUCAUAGACAUCACACCAUCUGACAAAAUGACACACCAAGAGAUCCAACAGGCCAUUGUGAAACAAUCUUUGAAAAGUUACUGAAUUGCCAUAAAUCUUAAGCUAUAGUACUGAGACAGAAAAUCCCUUCAGAUAAUGUUUUCUAUAUUACAGUUCAACUGAAGGAUUGCUUUGGCCCGUCUUCUUUUUGGUAUUUGAUUUGUGUUCCCCAAGUACAUUAUCUAUCGGUUGACACUGCACAGCAUACAGAUAGGAGAUUAAGCUAUUGUAAGUACCCAGAGAGAGCUCAUUUCCAAGAUGAAAAUGUCACUGUCAAGGUUAGACUUUCAGAGAGUACACAAAUUUCAAAUGCUUUACCACAAUUCUCCUCUUCCACUCUUUUGUGCAUUUCCCUUAACACCGUCCUUGUCCAGCAACUUAUAGUAUAAACAAAUGUAGUUAUUAUAUCACCAGAUUGGUAUUGUUUGUUUUCAAUAUAUAUUAUAAGAUAUACCAUUUUCGAUAUCUUGUUUUCAAGUUUAUAUACACCCACUGUUGAGUUAUACCAGCAGA